GAUGAACGCUGGCGGCGUGCUUAACACAUGCAAGUCGAACGAAGCAUUUGCGACAGAUUUUUUCGGAAUGAAGUUGCUUAUGACUGAGUGGCGGACGGGUGAGUAACGCGUGGGUAACCUGCCUUGUACUGGGGGAUAGCAGCUGGAAACGGCUGGUAAUACCGCAUAAGCGCACAAUGUUGCAUGACAUGGUGUGAAAAACUCCGGUGGUAUAAGAUGGACCCGCGUCUGAUUAGCUAGUUGGUGAGAUAACAGCCCACCAAGGCGACGAUCAGUAGCCGACCUGAGAGGGUGACCGGCCACAUUGGGACUGAGACACGGCCCAGACUCCUACGGGAGGCAGCAGUGGGGAAUAUUGCACAAUGGAGGAAACUCUGAUGCAGCGACGCCGCGUGAGUGAAGAAGUAAUUCGUUAUGUAAAGCUCUAUCAGCAGGGAAGAUAGUGACGGUACCUGACGAAGAAGCUCCGGCUAAAUACGUG
rnacentral:rRNA from 1 species